GACGAACGCUGGCGGCGUGCUUAACACAUGCAAGUCGAACGGAAAGGCCCUGCUUUUGUGGGGUGCUCGAGUGGCGAACGGGUGAGUAACACGUGAGUAACCUGCCCUUUACUUUGGGAUAACUUCAGGAAACUGGGGCUAAUACCGGAUAGGAGCUCCUGCUGCAUGGUGGGGGUUGGAAAGUUUCGGCGGUUGGGGAUGGACUCGCGGCUUAUCUGCUUGUUGGUGGGGUAGUGGCUUACCCAGGCUUUGACGGGUAGCCGGCCUGAGAGGGUGACCGGCCACAGUGGGACUGAGAUACGGGCCAGACUCCUACGGGAGGCAGCAGUGGGGAAUAUUGCACAAUGGGCGGAAGCCGGAUGCAGCAACGCCGCGUGCGGGAGGACGGCCUUCGGGUUGGAAACCGCUUUCGCGUGUGACGAAGCGUGAGUGACGGUAAUGGGUAAAGAAGCACCGGCUAACUACGUG
rnacentral:rRNA from 1 species